GCCCCAGUAGCUCAGUGGUUGAGUACCUGACUUGUAAUCAGGAGGUCGGGAGUUCAAAUCUCCCCUGGGGCU
rnacentral:tRNA from 1 species